rnacentral:tRNA from 1 species
GGCCGACUAGCUCAGUUGGUUAGAGCGUCGAACGCGAAGGUCUUGGGUUCGAUCCCCACGUUGGCCA